rnacentral:lncRNA from 1 species
AGCAGAGAAUGAUAUCCCCAGACAAGAGGAAAUUAGUAAAGAAUCCAGUUCAAAUUUAGAGUUGGAUUCUAACCCUGGAUUUGGUGAGGAAUCAAGUGAAGAAAUCAUUGAAGGAGACUCCACUGGGAAAGCCAGUAGGGAAGAACACAGGAAAACCAGCCCCAAAACUAGAUGGAGAGCUACAAUGGAAAUCCAGAGAGGAUGCAAUCUGGGAGCACAGAAUUGAUUACAACUGGGAAUACAAUGAAGAUUUUACCUGGGAAUCCAGUGGACAGUCAAAUGAAGAGUAUAAUAAGGAAGUGAUUGAUGAUUCCAGCCCUGGGAUGACAGUGGUCAACACAACAGUGAGACCUGUAAGUUAAUUUCAUUUUUGGGGGUUGUUGAUUCUUUUAGAUAUAACUUUGCUUGCAGUUUUCACUUUC